rnacentral:rRNA from 1 species
GAUGAACGCUGGCGGCGUGCUUAACACAUGCAAGUCGAACGGAAAGGCCCAAGCUUGCUUGGGUACUCGAGUGGCGAACGGGUGAGUAACACGUGGGUGAUCUGCCCUGCACUUCGGGAUAAGCCUGGGAAACUGGGUCUAAUACCGGAUAGGACCACUUCUUGGAUGUUGUGGUGGAAAGUUUUUUCGGUGUGGGAUGAGCUCGCGGCCUAUCAGCUUGUUGGUGGGGUAAUGGCCUACCAAGGCGUCGACGGGUAGCCGGCCUGAGAGGGUGUACGGCCACAUUGGGACUGAGAUACGGACCAGACUCCUACGGGAGGCAGCAGUGGGGAAUAUUGCACAAUGGGCGCAAGCCUGAUGCAGCGACGCCGCGUGGGGGAUGACGGCCUUCGGGUUGUAAACUCCUUUCGCUAGGGACGAAGCGUUUUGUGACGGUACCUGGAGAAGAAGCACCGGCUAACUACGUG